AUGCUGGGGAGUGGCUUCAGUCAGGAUGCUUCUACUGUUUACCUUCCACAUUGGUGGCUUGUGACGUUAUUUCAGGGUUUGAAUUUGGUCCUUGCGCCUUUAGCAUUCAGUGCCAGGCCUCGGUUUCCUGGAGCGGCAUUCGUCAGGUCUUGGCCGGUCUUGCUGACCGUCUAUGCAGCAUUGAUUUGUUCUUCUUCAGUUGUUGACAUUGUUGCAGAGAAGACAAUCACUAUUAAGUCUUGUUUAGAUGUUCUCUACUUACCAGGUGCAGUGGUCCUCCUCAUUUAUGGCAUUCGACACAGCCAUGACGAAGAGGGCUAUGGAGGAAUUGGAAAUGGUUUAUACAAACCCCUCAACACAGAGACAGACGGCGAGUCGGGUUUCUUUGUUUUGCUCAAGGUUCUCACCUUAUCCACUGGCCCAGUAAUUCUCAAGGCAUUCAUCAAUGUAUCACUUGGGAAAGGGAACUUUAAAUACGAAGGCUAUGCGCUGGCUGCAUUAUUGUUCGUCUGCAAAUGUUGUGAAUCAUUGUCGGAGAGACAGUAG
rnacentral:rRNA from 1 species